rnacentral:rRNA from 1 species
GAUGAACGCUAGCGGCAGGCCUAAUACAUGCAGGUCGAACGGGAUCCAGAUCAAAGCUUGCUUUGGUUUGGUGAGAGUGGCGCACGGGUGCGUAACGCGUGAGCAACCUACCCUUGUCAGGGGGAUAGCCCGGCGAAAGUCGGAUUAAUACCGCAUGACAUCAUUGAGAGGCAUCUUUCGAUGAUCAAAGAUUUAUCGGACAAGGAUGGGCUCGCGUGACAUUAGCUAGUUGGUAAGGUAACGGCUUACCAAGGCUACGAUGUCUAGGGGCUCUGAGAGGAGCAUCCCCCACACUGGUACUGAGACACGGACCAGACUCCUACGGGAGGCAGCAGUAAGGAAUAUUGGUCAAUGGACGGAAGUCUGAACCAGCCAUGCCGCGUGCAGGAAGACGGCCCUAUGGGUUGUAAACUGCUUUUAUACGGGAACAAACGUCGGUACGUGUACCGGUCUGAGUGUACCGUAAGAAUAAGGAUCGGCUAACUCCGUG